UUAGAUACCCUAUUAUAAAAAUGUAAUUUAAAAAAUUAAAUGAUUAUAAGUUAUUUUCUUUAAAGUUAAAUAAUUUGGCGGUAUUUUAGACUUUUCAGAGGAACCUGUUCUAUAAUUGAUAGUCCACGAUUAAAUAUACUUUAAUUAGAAAUUUUUAUAUCGUUGUUAUUAAAUAUUUUAAAAGAAUUAAUAUUUAAGAUUUUAAAUUAAAGAAAAUUUCAGAUCAAGGUAAAGUUUAUAUUAAAGAAGAAAUGGGUUACAUUAAAUUUAUUUUUGGUUAAGUUUUUGUAAAAAAAUUUAUAAAUUGGAUUUGAAAGUAAUUUUAUUUAU
rnacentral:rRNA from 1 species